rnacentral:sRNA from 1 species
AUUUUGGGGGAACACGGAAAAUGAUAAAUUCGUACAUGAGGUAAAAAGCGUGACAGAGAUAAGGUGUCGUAUAACAAGGGGAGUGGGUCCACGGAUCCAGGAGGCCCGUGUCUACGCCAUCGUUACCUCUCCCACGUACAAACUGAUUGGUAUACAAUACCCAGCCAUCAGCGAUAAUCAGAGUUUUUAUUCUCUAAAGAUAGCGUCUGGUAGAGUAACCAGGAAGUGGUCGGCGAGAACUGGGAGAAACUGGCCUCAAUUUGGGAUGAUUGCUGACCCAAAAUGAACACUGUCAAAUGUUACUUGAAAAGAGGAGAACGUAAUCAAGCGUUAUUUAUGACGACACAGUGUUUGAGUAAUGACGUUUGUGGCGUUAAAUAGAUUUGCUUCCUGUAUCCGUUAUAUAAAUAUUUCAUUACUAGUAAGACAGGUUCUUUUUUUUAAGUCAGCGUCCCUACUUCCGUGUGUACAUUUUUUAUGCAUUGUUAUUCUUUUUCAUUCUUUGUCCAAAUCAUUCUUUCUUAUACAAAUUCUUGACUAUAUCACGUAUUUUGCUAUUUCGUAAUUACGUAUUCGUAUCAUGUUAGUUUUGAACAAUUUUUCAAUUUUAAUGGCGAAGACCUCUUAGUAGAACUUUUGUCCUAACCAUUUGUAUAUGUAUGUUAUAUAUAUAUAUUAACGAAAUAAAUAAAUAUUUACUCUU